CGUAAACAUCGAGGCAUUAAUUACUGCAACCUUAACCCAAUCAUAACUGUGUUUCGCGUUCAUGGAAUCGAAAUAGUAAAAAUGUGUAAAAGAGUUCUCCAGGUUCGCUGUAAUCUGAUAAUCCCCAGCACCUGUUGUAGACUUCUGACCGUGGUAACAAUCAACGAAAAUACUAGAAAAGCUUGUUAUUCCGGGCGGCCCGUCUGAGGCCUCCUUUCAAGACUGACAGCGAAUCUUUUCAUUCCGGCAUUGGCCUUGGUUGUGGGCAUUGUAACCGCACCAGCAACUUCUUGAUGGCCGAAUUCGACACAGAUCCACUUCGAAAUUUGGGAACCUGCUCGCCGAUGCUUUAUUUGUGAUUGGAAAAGAUUUUUUCGUUUUUUUCAGCGUUUCACACGACCUCUAACUAUUAUCCCAACACGUCCAACAAUAGCACAAUAAAAACAAAAUAGAAAUGUAUAACAUCAUCGACAAACGUCGAAUUCAAGGAAUAAAACACAUUGCCACGCAAACCAUGCAACAACACAAGCACUAUUGUGGAAUUGAAACGUUCAGGCGGCGCAUAAAUUAAGACCGGAUUGGUCAAUUACUGAAUCAGCAUUUUCAGCAGCGUCCGUCACGCCAUUGAAAUCGGCGACAGGAUUUACUAACAUUUUUAAAACCGCCUAGAAUAAACACAAUACGAUUAAAACUAA